GGUUCAGGACGAACGCUGGCGGCGUGCCUAAUACAUGCAAGUCGAACGGCUUUUCUAUGGAAGCUUGCUUCCACUGAGAAGAUAGUGGCGAACGGGUGAGUAACACGUGGGUAACCUGCCCAUAAGAGGGGGAUAACAUCCGGAAACGGGCGCUAAUACCGCAUAGUUUUCUUGAUUGCAUGAUUGAGAAAGGAAAGACGGCCUUUGUGCUGUCGCUUAUGGAUGGACCCGCGGCGUAUUAGUUAGUUGGUGAGGUAACGGCUCACCAAGGCGACGAUGCGUAGCCGACCUGAGAGGGUGAUCGGCCACAUUGGAACUGAGACACGGUCCAGACUCCUACGGGAGGCAGCAGUGGGGAAUAUUGCACAAUGGGCGAAAGCCUGAUGCAAGCAACGCCGCGUGAGUGAUGAAGGCCUUCGGGUCGUAAAGCUCUUUGAUCAGGGAUGAUAAUGACAGUACCUGAAAAACAAGCCACGGCUAACUACGUGCCAGCCGCGGC
rnacentral:rRNA from 1 species